rnacentral:hammerhead_ribozyme from 1 species
GUAAUGCUGAAGAGUCUCAAACUAGGACGAAACAGCUGUCCAGUAC